CUCUUCCUCCUCCUUUUCCUCUCUUCUUCCUUCUCUAUUUCUCUUCUUCCUUCUCUAUUUCUCUUUUUCUCUCUGGAUUUGGUUCAACCUUUGAGAAACGAGAAGUGGAAGGGAAAGAAGAAGGAGAAAAAAAAAUUCAAAAUCGAAACGACGUGGUUUCCAAAAAUCAGGCCAUUCGGGGAAAACGUUUCGAUGUACAAAACAUUUUCCUUUCUUCAUAUAUUAGGUUUCAAAUCCCUAAUUUCUUUUCAUCACUCACUCUUUACGGAUUCGAUAUAUGAACUCAAUGGUUCUUCUCUACGGAUUCUGAUCUGUGGUUCAUCAUUGUCUCAUAGCACCUCUCUCCAGGACUGGAUCGCUCUGUUGCCACCUCAUCUCUCCUCGACUCUUGAUUUCCCGACGACUCUCCGGUAACGAUUCCGAUCAGGUAUGUAAGCAGCCUUGGUAAUAAGAGAGUUAAACUCUUUGAUAUGGGAGCAGGUGCUAGUGAUCCUAUAGCAGAUGACAAUGUUCAAAUGGCGUCAGGUCCUACAAGCUUGCAUCAAUUUGAAGCUUGGGAGCUCUCUGCUAGAUUUUGAAUGCCAUUUCAACGAAACCAUUGAGAAGAAGAUGCGAUGAGUUGAGUUGUUUUGUUGUGUUGGUAGAUAUAACUCCAAUUACAAUCUGUUCUUUGAAUAGUUGAAUGCUACAAACAACACUUAUGGCAGUAGCUUUAUAAAUUGGAAAUUAUAUUUUUGAAAUCUCUGUCAGUUUAUGAUAUACAAUCAAGAUAUUACAUACUAAUGAAUCAGAGCAUGGUAUUUGUUUGUUAUCGAAAUUACCCUCGCUGACACAAGCAGCAAUAAUACGCAGUGCACUUUAUGUCUA